rnacentral:rRNA from 1 species
AUUGAACGCUAGCGGGAGGCUUUACACAUGCAAGUCGAACGAGUGGCGGACGGGUGAGUAAUGUCUGGGAAAGUGCCUAGUAGAGGGGGAUAACUACUGGAAAGGGUGGCUAAUACCGCAUACCAUCAGAUCUGCCCAUAUGGGAUUAGCUAGUAGGUGGGGUAAUGGCUCACCAAGGCGACGAUCACUAGCUGGUUUGAGAGGAUGACCAGACAAACUGGAACUGAGACACGGCCCAAACUCCCACGGGAGGCAGCAGUGGGGAAUUUUGAACACUGGGCGCAACCCUGAUGCAGCCUGGCCGCGUGUAUGAAGAAGGCCUUCGGGUUGUAAAGUACUUUCAGCGGGGAAUCGUUACAAGCAGAAUAAGCACCGGCUAACUUCGUGCCAGCAGCCGCGGUAAUAC